GUGCUAGUUGCAAUAGCACAUAUACUAAAAUCAGAAUGAUACAGAGAAGAUUAGCAUGGCCCUGUGCAAUGAUGACACACAAAUUGUGAAGUGUUCUAUUUUUUC